GACGAACGCUGGCGGCGUGCUUAACACAUGCAAGUCGAACGAUGAAGCCGGAGCUUGCUCUGGUGAAUUAGUGGCGAACGGGUGAGUAACACGUGAGUAACCUGCCCUUGACUCUGGGAUAACUGCUAGAAAUGGUAGCUAAUACCGGAUACGACCCUCGGAGGCAUCUUCAGGGGGUGGAAAGAAUUUCGGUCAAGGAUGGACUCGCGGCCUAUCAGCUAGUUGGUGAGGUAAUGGCUCACCAAGGCGACGACGGGGAGCCGGCCUGAGAAGGGGGCCGGCAAAACUGGGACUGAGACACGGCCCAGACUACUACGGGAGGCAGCAGUGGGGAAUAUGGCACAAUGGGCGCAAGCCUGAUGCAGCAACGCCGCGUGAGGGAUGACGGCCUUCGGGUUGUAAACCUCUUUUAGUAGGGAAGAAGCGAAAGUGACGGUACCUGCAGAAAAAGCACCGGCUAACUACGUGCCAGCAGCCGCCGUAA
rnacentral:rRNA from 1 species